rnacentral:rRNA from 1 species
AGCGAACGCUGGCGGCAGGCCUAACACAUGCAAGUCGAACGGCUCUUCGGAGCAGUGGCGGACGGGUGAGUAACGCGUGGGAACGUGCCCUUUGGUUCGGAACAACACAGGGAAACUUGUGCUAAUACCGGAUGAGCCCUUCGGGGGAAAGAUUUAUCGCCAUUGGAGCGGCCCGCGUUGGAUUAGGUAGUUGGUGGGGUAACGGCCCACCAAGCCGACGAUCCAUAGCUGGUCUGAGAGGAUGAUCAGCCACACUGGGACUGAGACACGGCCCAGACUCCUACGGGAGGCAGCAGUGGGGAAUCUUGCGCAAUGGGCGAAAGCCUGACGCAGCCAUGCCGCGUGUAUGAUGAAGGUCUUAGGAUUGUAAAAUACUUUCACCGGGGAAGAUAAUGACGGUACCCGGAGAAGAAGCCCCGGCUAACUUCGUGCCAGCAGCCGCGGUAAUACGAAGGGGGCUAGCGUUGCUCGGAAUUACUGGGCGUAAAGGGCGCGUAGGCGGACAGUUUAGUCAGAGGUGAAAGCCCAGGGCUCAACCUUGGAAUUGCCUUUGAUACUGGCUGUCUUGAGUUCGGGAGAGGUGAGUGGAAUGCCGAGUGUAGAGGUGAAAUUCGUAGAUAUUCGGCGGAACACCAGUGGCGAAGGCGACUCACUGGCCCGAUACUGACGCUGAGGCGCGAAAGCGUGGG